rnacentral:rRNA from 1 species
CCUACGGGGGGCUGCAGUGGGAAAUAUUGGACAAUGGGGGCAACCCUGAUCCAGCCAUGCCGCGUGUGUGAAGAAGGCCCUCGGGUUGUAAAGCACUUUCAGUGAGGAAGAACGCCUGGUGGUUAAUACCCAUCAGGAAAGACAUCACUCACAGAAGAAGCACCGGCUAACUCCGUGCCAGCAGCCGCGGUAAUACGGAGGGUGCGAGCGUUAAUCGGAAUUACUGGGCGUAAAGCGCGCGUAGGUGGCUUGAUAAGCCGGUUGUGAAAGCCCCGGGCUCAACCUGGGAACGGCAUCCGGAACUGUCAAGCUAGAGUGCAGGAGAGGAAGGUAGAAUUCCCGGUGUAGCGGUGAAAUGCGUAGAGAUCGGGAGGAAUACCAGUGGCGAAGGCGGCCUUCUGGACUGACACUGACACUGAGGUGCGAAAGCGUGGGUAGCAAACAGGAUUAGAUACCCUGGUAGUC